rnacentral:lncRNA from 1 species
AACAUAUUUUCAUUUGUAAAAAGAAAUAUAUCUUUUUCAUUAUUAGUGUCCAGAAAUUAGAACAUCAAAUUUUGAGAACUGCGUGUAAAAUAAAAGCAACCAAUGUGUUGUCAGAGUGACCUUCAAAAAUAAUAAAUUCAGAGAUCUUCAAAAUUGAAGAAGAAAAUUUAGAAAAGAAAGAUUUAAAAUAUGUGUGUCAGUCUAUGUAUAGAGAGAGAAGAAAACUGUGCCCGGCAUAAUCUAAAAAUCGAGCAGAAUUUCACAAAAUAUUGGAUGAUAUUGGUGUUGUUACAAACAAAGAUGAUGACUUUGUAUUGUGUAACGGUCCAGAAAGCGGUAUAAUUUUAUUAGGAUGCGAGGCUAAUUUGAAAUUUCAGUGUACAAUGUCAGAGGAUUUUUUGGCUGUUGGUACCUAGUCAAUCAUUUAGUUGUUAUAUAUAAAUAAAAAUAUAUAAAAUUGGUGCAAUUAGAUGAUUAUUUUAUUGGCGC